CGGGGGGAGCAAGCGUUGUUCGGAUUUACUGGGCGUAAAGGGCGCGUAGGCGGCCACCGCAAGUCGACUGUGAAAUCUCCGGGCUUAACUCGGAAAGGUCAGCCGAUACUGCGGGGCUAGAGUGCAGAAGGGGCAACUGGAAUUCUCGGUGUAGCGGUGAAAUGCGUAGAUAUCGAGAGGAACACCUGCGGCGAAGGCGGGUUGCUGGGCUGACACUGACGCUGAGGCGCGAAAGCUAGGGGAGCGAACGGGAUUAGAUACCCCGGUAGUCCUAGCCUUAAACGAUGAAUGCUUGGUGUCUGGGGUUUUAUAGUCCCCGGUGCCGUCGCUAACGCUUUAAGCCAUUCCGCCUGGGGAGUACGGUCGCAAGACUG
rnacentral:rRNA from 1 species